rnacentral:sRNA from 1 species
UCGGAUCGCGUGGAACAAGUUCCCUCUCCGCAAAGCCCCUACGGAUCCACGCGCUCCUCAAUAAUAACGAACAAAAUAGUAGGCCCCGCCACCCC